rnacentral:rRNA from 1 species
UACGUAGGGCGCAAGCGUUGUCCGGAAUUAUUGGGCGUAAAGAGCUCGUAGGCGGUUUGUCGCGUCUGCUGUGAAAACCUGAGGCUCAACCUCGGGCUUGCAGUGGGUACGGGCAGACUAGAGUGCGGUAGGGGUGACUGGAAUUCCUGGUGUAGCGGUGGAAUGCGCAGAUAUCCGGAGGAACACCGAUGGCGAAGGCAGGUCACUGGGCCGCAACUGACGCUGAGGAGCGAAAGCAUGGGGAGCGAACAGG